rnacentral:rRNA from 1 species
UUGAUCCUGGCUCAGAACGAACGCGGGCGGCGUGGAUUAGGCAUGCAAGUCGAGCGGGAUCCUUGAGGUUCAAUUCUUCGGAAAAGAACCUCUUGGUGAGAGCGGCGAACGGGUGAGUAACGCGUGGGCAAUCUACCCUUAAGUCGGGGAUAGCCCGCCGAAAGGCGGGGUAAUACCGGAUGUGGUCUCCUGUCGCAUGGCAGGAUAUCUAAAGGCGCCUCCGGGUGCCGCUUUUGGAUGAGCCCGCGUCCCAUCAGCUUGUUGGUAGGGUAAUGGCUUACCAAGGCUAAGACGGGUAGCUGGUCUGAGAGGAUGGUCAGCCACACUGGGACUGAGACACUGCCCAGACUCCUACGGGAGGCUGCAGUCGAGAAUCAUUCGCAAUGCGCGAAAGCGUGACGAUGCGACGCCGCGUGCAGGAUGAAGGCUUUCGGGUCGUAAACUGCUGUCAUGGGGGAACAAUGAGCCCGUCGUAAAUAGCGACGGGCAGUGAUGGUACCCCAAGAGGAAGCCACGGCUAACUCUGUGCCAGCAGCCGCGGUAAUACAGAGGUGGCAAGCGUUGUUCGGAUUUACUGGGCGUAAAGGGUGCGUAGGCGGUUUCGUAUGUCGGAUGUGAAAUCUCACCGUUCGACGGUGAAACUGCAUUCGAAACUGCGGAACUAGAGUACGGUAGAGGAGAGCGGAAUUCUCGGUGUAGCGGUGAAAUGCGUAGAUAUCGAGAGGAACGCCGGCGGCGAAGGCGGCUCUCUGGAACGAUACUGACGCUGAGGCACGAAAGCUGGGGGAGCGAACAGGAUUAGAUACCCUGGUAGUCCCAGCCGUAAACGUUGUGCACUUGGUGUGGGAGGAUUGUCCCCUUCCGUGCCGGAGUUAACGCGUUAAGUGCACCGCCUGGGGAGUACGGCCGCAAGGCUAAAACUCAAAGGAAUUGACGGGGGCCCGCACAAGCGGUGGAGCAUGUGGCUUAAUUCGAUGCAACGCGAAGAACCUUACCAGGGCUUGACAUGCAAGUAGUACGAACCUGAAAGGGGGAGGAUCCCGUUCGCGGGAAGCUUGCGCAGGUGCUGCAUGGCUGUCGUCAGCUCGUGCCGUGAGGUGUUGGGUUAAGUCCCGCAACGAGCGCAACCCUUAUGGCUAGUUGCCCCUUCCGUCGAAAGGCGGGAAGCACUCUAGCCAGACUGCCCGUGACAAGCGGGAGGAAGGUGGGGAUGACGUCAAGUCAGUAUGGUCCUUAUGCCCUGGGCUGCACACGUGCUACAAUGGCCGGUAUAAUGGGAAGCAAGACCGCGAGGUGGCGCAAAUCCUCAAAACCGGCCUCAGUUCGGAUCGGAGUCUGCAACCCGACUCCGUGAAGUUGGAAUCGCUAGUAAAGGCGUAUCAGCUACGACGCCUUGAUACGUUCCCGGGCCUUGUACACACCGCCCGUCACAUCAUGGAAGUCGACUGCACCCGAAGUCGCUGAGCCAACCCCUUCCNGGGGAGGCAGGCGCCGAAGGUGUGGUUGAUGACUGGGAUGAAGUC